AGUCAAGUAAUUAAGUGCAUGUGGUGGAUGCCUUGGCAGUCAGAGGCGAUGAAAGACGUGAUAGCCUGCGAAAAGCUCCGGGGAGGCGGCAAAUAUCCUUUGAUCCGGAGAUGUCUGAAUGGGGGAACCCACCUACUUUAAGGUAGGUAUUGCAACAUGAAUACAUAGUGUUGCAAGGCGAACGAGGGGAAGUGAAACAUCUCAGUACCCUUAGGAAAAGAAAUCAAUUGAGAUUCCCUCAGUAGCGGCGAGCGAACGGGGAUCAGCCCAUUAAGUUAUGUGUGUUUUAGUGGAACGCUCUGGGAAGUGCGAACGUAGAGGGUGAUAUUCCCGUACACGAAAGGGCACACAUAAUGAUGACGAGUAGGGCGAGGCACGUGAAACCUUGUCUGAAUAUGGGGGGACCAUCCUCCAAGGCUAAAUACUCCUGACUGACCGAUAGUGAACCAGUACCGUGAGGGAAAGGCGAAAAGAACCCCUGUGAGGGGAGUGAAAUAGAUCCUGAAACCGCAUGCAUACAAGCAGUGGGAGCACCUUCGUGGUGUGACUGCGUACCUUUUGUAUAAUGGGUCAGCGACUUAUAUUCAGUAGCAAGGUUAACCGUAUAGGGGAGCCGUAGAGAAAUCGAGUCUUAAUAGGGCGUUUAGUUGCUGGGUAUAGACCCGAAACCAGGCGAUCUAUCCAUGAGCAGGUUGAAGGUUGGGUAACACUAACUGGAGGACCGAACCCACUGUCGUUGAAAAGCCAGGGGAUGACUUGUGGAUAGGGGUGAAAGGCUAAUCAAGCCUGGUGAUAGCUGGUUCUCCCCGAAAGCUAUUUAGGUAGCGCCUCGGACGAAUACCAUAGGGGGUAGAGCACUGUUUCGGCUAGGGGGUCAUCCCGACUUACCAAACCGAUGCAAACUCCGAAUACCUAUGAGUACUAUCCGGGAGACAGACUGCGGGUGCUAACGUCCGUAGUCAAGAGGAAAACAAUCCAGACCGCCAGCUAAGGCCCCAAAAUCAUAGUUAAGUGGGAAACGAUGUGGGAAGGCAUAGACAGCUAGGAGGUUGGCUUAGAAGCAGCCACCCUUUAAAGAAAGCGUAAUAGCUCACUAGUCGAGUCGGCCUGCGCGGAAGAUGUAACGGGGCUAAAACUAUGUGCCGAAGCUGCGGAUGUAUACUUUGUAUACGUGGUAGGGGAGCGUUCUGUAAGCCGAUGAAGGUGUGUUGAGAAGCAUGCUGGAGGUAUCAGAAGUGCGAAUGCUGACGUGAGUAACGACAAAACGGGUGAAAAACCCGUUCGCCGAAAGACCAAGGGUUCCAGUCCAACGUUAAUCGGGGCUGGGUGAGUCGACCCCUAAGGCGAGGCCGAAAGGCGUAGUCGAUGGGAAAAUGGUUAAUAUUCCAUUACUUCUGUGUAAUGCGAUGAGAGGACGGAGAAGGCUAAAUCAGCCUGGCGUUGGUUGUCCAGGUGAAAGGAUGUAGGCAUGUAUCUUAGGCAAAUCCGGGGUACUCUAUGCUGAGAUCUGAUAGCAAGCUGUACUUGUACAGCGAAGUGGUUGAUGCCAUGCUUCCAGGAAAAGUCUCUAAGCUUCAGUUACACAGGAAUCGUACCCGAAACCGACACAGGUGGUCAGGUCGAGUAGACCAAGGCGCUUGAGAGAACUCUGCUGAAGGAACUAGGCAAAAUGGUACCGUAACUUCGGGAGAAGGUACGCUGUUGUUGGUGAUGGAACUCGCUUCCUGAGCUGACGACAGCCGCAGAAACCAGGCCGCUGCAACUGUUUAUUAAAAACAUAGCACUCUGCAAACACGAAAGUGGACGUAUAGGGUGUGAUGCCUGCCCGGUGCUGGAAGGUUAAUUGAUGGGGUUAGCGUAAGCGAAGCUCUUGAUCGAAGCCCCAGUAAACGGCGGCCGUAACUAUAACGGUCCUAAGGUAGCGAAAUUCCUUGUCGGGUAAGUUCCGACCUGCACGAAUGGCAUAAUGAUGGCGGCGCUGUCUCCAGCAGAGGCUCAGUGAAAUCGAAAUCGCUGUGAAGAUGCAGUGUACCCGCGGCUAGACGGAAAGACCCCGUGAACCUUUACUGCAGCUUGACACUGAACUUUGACCUUACUUGUGUAGGAUAGGUGGGAGGCUUUGAAGCUGGAACGCUAGUUCCAGUGGAGCCGUCCUUGAAAUACCACCCUGGUAAUGUUGAGGUUCUAACUCUGUCCCGUGAUCCGGGACGAGGACCGUGUCUGGUGGGUAGUUUGACUGGGGCGGUCUCCUCCUAAAGAGUAACGGAGGAGUACGAAGGUGCGCUCAGCGUGGUCGGAAAUCACGCGUAGAGUAUAAAGGCAAAAGCGCGCUUAACUGCGAGACCCACAAGUCGAGCAGGUACGAAAGUAGGUCUUAGUGAUCCGGUGGUUCUGUAUGGAAGGGCCAUCGCUCAACGGAUAAAAGGUACUCUGGGGAUAACAGGCUGAUACCGCCCAAGAGUUCAUAUCGACGGCGGUGUUUGGCACCUCGAUGUCGGCUCAUCUCAUCCUGGGGCUGAAGCAGGUCCCAAGGGUAUGGCUGUUCGCCAUUUAAAGAGGUACGCGAGCUGGGUUUAGAACGUCGUGAGACAGUUCGGUCCCUAUCUACCGUGGGCGCUGGAAAUUUGAGAGGAUCUGCUCCUAGUACGAGAGGACCAGAGUGGACGAACCUCUGGUGUACCGGUUGUGACGCCAGUCGCAUCGCCGGGUAGCUAUGUUCGGAAGGGAUAACCGCUGAAAGCAUCUAAGCGGGAAGCCUACCUCAAGAUAAGAUUUCCCUAGGACUUUAUGUCCUCUAAAGAGCCGUUCGAGACUAGGACGUUGAUAGGUUGGAUGUGGAAGCAUAGUGAUAUGUGAAGCUGACCAAUACUAAUUGCUCGUGAGGCUUGACUAUACAACACCCA
rnacentral:rRNA from 2 species